rnacentral:rRNA from 1 species
UGUCUAGGGGCUCAAACCUAAAGAACCCAAAUAUCUAAACGGAGAGAUUCAAUACUGAACUUAACACUCAGUGUGCACUUCUCUCUUAGUAAGACGCCGUGAUCCAUUAGAAAUUGGUAGACACCAGUCUAUAUGAGGUCAUCAAUGAGCUUGCAUGAAGUUUAUCCGGAACAAAUGGCGCGAUCUUUCAACGGUUGUGUGUAUUGUCUGGUAAGCGUGCGAGUACUCGCAAUGACUGUCUGAUGGAUUUUAAAGAUUAUAUCAUUGAUGUUUCGGCAUCACUUGCAUUACGCAGUGUUCGAUAUAUAUCCGAUCAACGGCGGUUAAAUUUGGGAUACCUUUUGGACCCGUCUUGAAACACGGACCAAGGAGUCUAUCUAAUGUGCAAGUAAAUGGGUAGAUUAUGAAACCUAUUUGCGUAAUAAACGUAACUAUUUUAUGGGAUUACGAGAAUGGCUUGUAAAGGUCAUCUCUUCCAUCCCGGAGUAUUUUCAUCCACAUAUACGCAAGUAUAUGGAAAAUAUAUCAUGAGCAUAUUGGAUACGACCCGAAAGAUGGUGAACUAUGCUUGAUCAGGUCGAAGUCAGGGGAAACCCUGAUGGAGGACCGAAGCAGUUCUGACGUGCAAAUCGAUUGUCAGAAUUGAGCAUAGGGGCGAAAGACCAAUCGAACCAUC